rnacentral:rRNA from 1 species
AUCCGGGAGGACCAUCUCCCAAGGCUAAAUACUCCCUAGUGACCGAUAGUGAACCAGUACCGUGAGGGAAAGGUGAAAAGCACCCCGGAAGGGGAGUGAAACAGUUCCUGAAACCGUGUGCCUACAAGUAGUUAGAGCCCGUUAAUGGGUGAUAGCGUGCCUUUUGUAGAAUGAACCGGCGAGUUACGAUUUGUUGCAAGGUUAAGCGGAAAAAGCGGAGCCGUAGCGAAAGCGAGUCUGAAUAGGGCGCAUAAGUAACAGGUCGUAGACCCGAAACCAGGUGAUCUACCCAUGUCCAGGAUGAAGGUAAGGUAAUACUUACUGGAGGUCCGAACCCACGCACGUUGAAAAGUGCGGGGAUGAGGUGUGGGUAGCGGAGAAAUUCCAAUCGAACUUGGAGAUAGCUGGUUCUCUCCGAAAUAGCUUUAGGGCUAGCCUCGAGGUAAAGAGUCAUGGAGGUAGAGCACUGUUUGGACUAGGGGCCCUUCUCGGGUUACCGAAUUCAGAUAAACUCCGAAUGCCAUGUACUUAUACUCGGGAGUCAGACUGCGAGUGAUAAGAUCCGUAGUCGAAAGGGAAACAGCCCAGACCACCAGUUAAGGUCCCCAAAUAUAUGUUAAGUGGAAAAGGAUGUGGGGUUGCUUAGACAACCAGGAUGUUGGCUUAGAAGCAGCCACCAUUGAAAGAGUGCGUAAUAGCUCACUGGUCGAGUGACCCCGCGCCGAAAAUGUACCGGGGCUAAACAUAUUACCGAAACUGUGGAUGAACCUCUUUAGAGGUUCGUGGUAGGAGAGCGUUCUAAGGGCGGUGAAGUCAGACCGGAAGGACUGGUGGAGCGCUUAGAAGUGAGAAUGCCGGUAUGAGUAGCGAAAGAAGGGUGAGAAUCCCUUCCACCGAAUAUCUAAGGUUUCCUGAGGAAGGCUCGUCCGCUCAGGGUUAGUCGGGACCUAAGCCGAGGCCGAUAGGCGUAGGCGAUGGACAACAGGUAGAGAUUCCUGUACCAGUGCUAAUUGUUUAACCGAUGGGGUGACACAGAAGGAUAGGGAAUCGCACGAAUGGAAAUGUGCGUCCAAGCAGUGAGUGUGAGAAGUAGGCAAAUCCGCUUCUCGCGAAGCAUGAGCUGUGAUGGGGAAGGAAAUUAAGUACGGAAGUUCCUGAUUUCACGCUGUCAAGAAAAGCCUCUAGGAAGAGUAGUACUGCCCGUACCGCAAACCGACACAGGUAGAUGAGGAGAGAAUCCUAAGGUGAGCGAGAGAACUCUCGUUAAGGAACUCGGCAAAAUGACCCCGUAACUUCGGGAGAAGGGGUGCUCUAUUAGGGUGCAAGCCCGAGAGAGCCGCAGUGAAUAGGCCCAGGCGACUGUUUAGCAAAAACACAGGUCUCUGCAAAACCGUAAGGUGACGUAUAGGGGCUGACGCCUGCCCGGUGCUGGAAGGUUAAGAGGAGUGCUUAGCUUCGGCGAAGGUACGAAUUGAAGCCCCAGUAAACGGCGGCCGUAACUAUAACGGUCCUAAGGUAGCGAAAUUCCUUGUCGGGUAAGUUCCGACCCGCACGAAAGGCGCAACGAUCUGGGCACUGUCUCAACGAGAGACUCGGUGAAAUUAUAGUACCUGUGAAGAUGCAGGUUACCCGCGACAGGACGGAAAGACCCCGUGGAGCUUUACUGCAACCUGAUAUGGAAUGUUUGUACCGCUUGUACAGGAUAGGUAGGAGCCGAAGAGACGUGUGCGCUAGCAUACGAGGAGGCAAUGGUGGGAUACUACCCUGGCUGUAUGACCAUUCUAACCCGCCACGCUUAGCGCGUGGGGAGACAGUGUCAGGUGGGCAGUUUGACUGGGGCGGUCGCCUCCUAAAGAGUAACGGAGGCGCCCAAAGGUUCCCUCAGAAUGGAUGGAAAUCAUUCGCAGAGUGUAAAGGCACAAGGGAGCUUGACUGCGAGACUGACAAGUCGAGCAGGGACGAAAGUCGGGCUUAGUGAUCCGGUGGUUCCGCAUGGAAGGGCCAUCGCUCAACGGAUAAAAGCUACCCCGGGGAUAACAGGCUUAUCUCCCCCAAGAGUCCACAUCGACGGGGAGGUUUGGCACCUCGAUGUCGGCUCGUCGCAUCCUGGGGCUGUAGUCGGUCCCAAGGGUUGGGCUGUUCGCCCAUUAAAGCGGCACGCGAGCUGGGUUCAGAACGUCGUGAGACAGUUCGGUCCCUAUCCGUCGCGGGCGCAGGAAAUUUGAGAGGAGCUGUCCUUAGUACGAGAGGACCGGGAUGGACACACCGCUGGUGUACCAGUUGUUCCGCCAGGAGCAUCGCUGGGUAGCUAUGUGUGGCAGGGAUAAACGCUGAAAGCAUCUAAGCGUGAAGCCCCCCUCAAGAUGAGAUUUCCCAUUUCUUCGGAAAGUAAGAUCCCUGAAAGAUGAUCAGGUAGAUAGGUUUGGAGUGGAAGUGUAGCGAUACAUGGAGCGGACAAAUACUAAUCGAUCGAGGACUUAACCAAAA